rnacentral:rRNA from 1 species
AUUGAACGCUGGCGGCAGGCCUAACACAUGCAAGUCGCACGCGAAAGUUCCUUCGGGGAUGAGUAGAGUGGCGGACGGGUGAGUAACGCGUAGGAAUCUGUCCCGUAGUGGGGGAUAACCCGGGGAAACUCGGGCUAAUACCGCAUACGCCCCACGGGGGAAANCGGGGGAUCUUCGGACCUCGUGCUAGGGGAGGAGCCUGCGUCGGAUUAGCUAGUUGGUAGGGUAAAGGCCUACCAAGGCGACGAUCCGUAGCNGGUCUGAGAGGAUGAUCAGCCACACCGGAACUGAGACACGGUCCGGACUCCUACGGGAGGCAGCAGUGGGGAAUAUUGCGCAAU